GACAGAGGUGGCAAGCGUUGUUCGGAAUUACUGGGCUUAAAGGGCGAGUAGGCGUCCCGGUAAGUCGGAUGUGGAAUCUUUUCGCUUAACGAAAAAAUUGCAUCUGAAACUAUCGGGAUUGAGUCAGUGAGGGGAGGGCGGAAUUCCUGGUGUAGCGGUGAAAUGCGUAGAUAUCAGGAGGAAGGCCUGUGGCGAAGGCGGCCCUCUGGCACUGUACUGACGCUGAGGAGCGAAAGCGUGGGGAGCAAACAGG
rnacentral:rRNA from 1 species